rnacentral:rRNA from 1 species
AGCCCAGCACCGAACCUCGCACCCCCGGGUGUCGCGGAAUGUGGUGUCAGGAGGACCGUGCGCGUCUGUCCGGUAUCGUCCAAGUCUCCAUGAAUGGGGCCAGCAACCCAGAGAGGGUGUCAGGCCCGUGGGACGAGCCGCGACCGUGUAUUGGGUCUCUCCUUAGAGUCGGGUUGCUUGAGAGUGCAGCCCUAAGCGGGAGGUAAACUCCUUCUAAGGCUAAAUACGGCCACGAGACCGAUAGCGAACAAGUACCGCGAGGGAAAGUUGAAAAGAACUUUGAAGAGAGAGUUCAAUAGUGCGUGAAACCGUUCAGGGGGUUAAACGGGUGGGCCCUCGAAGGUCGAACGCCCCCUACUCCUGUUCCUGUAGCGCUGGCACGUGCUGCUUUUCGAUCUCGCUACGAGACGGAGCUUGGUGCGGUAUGCCGGACUGCAGGGGCCGCUAGUUAGGGGGCCAGUAGGACUCCGCAACCGGCUGGGUUUUAAGUCGUCAGAAGGGUUCUGGAGGAAGCCUCCUCUGGGGGUGAAAUCCGGGAUUCCGGGCGAUCUUCCCGGCCGUGAACCAGAAUUCCCCCGUCUGGCGUCUGGGACGAGUUCUGGCAACAGGACUGUCGGUUCUGGGCGUCACCGUGGGGACACCGCGGAGAGUAGAGUCGGGUCCCACCCGACCCGUCUUGAAACACGGACCAAGGAGUCUAACAUGUGCGCGAGUCGUCGGGUACUACUAAACCCGAAGGCGCAAUGAAAGUGAAGACUGUGCCUCGUCGCCGGUCUAGGGGAGAUCCCGUUCUGCU